rnacentral:rRNA from 1 species
AUGAGGUGUGGAUAGCGGAGAAAUUCCAAUCGAACCCGGAGAUAGCUGGUUCUCCCCGAAAUAGCUUUAGGGCUAGCGUCGAGGUAGAGAGUUGCGUGAAGGUAGAGCACUGAAUAUGUGAUGGCCCCAUCUCGGGGUACUGAACAUAAUCAAACUGCGAAUGUCACGAAGACAAGCCCGGCAGUCAGACAGCGGGUGAUAAGGUCCGUUGUCAAGAGGGAAACAGCCCAGACCCACAGCUAAGGUCCCAAAAUGUAUGCUAAGUGGAAAAGGAUGUGGAGAUGUACAGACAACUAGGAGGUUGGCUCAGAAGCAGCCAUCCUUUAAAGAGUGCGUAACAGCUCACUAGUCGAAUGACUCUGCGCCGAUAAUUUACCGGGGCUAAGCAUACUACCGAAGCUAUGGAUCCCAAGGGAUGGUAGGGGAGCGUUCCAUGAACGGAGAAGUACGACCGAAAGGACGUGUGGAGAUCAUGGAAGAGAGAAUGCCGGUGUGAGUAGCGGAACGUGGGUGAGAAUCCCACGCACCGAAAACCCAAGGUUUCCAGAGGAAGGUUCGUCCGCUCUGGGUAAGUCGGGACCUAAGGCGAGGCCGAAAGGCGUAGUCGAUGGAGGACAGGUUAAUAUUCCUGUACCACCUUGUUGGAGUGAUGGAGGGACGCAGUAAGUCAGGUGAGCCAACUGCUGAAUAUGUUGGUCGAAGGCCGUAGGGCGCACGAUAGGCAAAUCCGUCGUGCUUUCAACCCGAGAGUCGUAAGGUAGCCGAACGCAAGUUUGGCGAAUUCACUGUGACGACGCUGACGAGAAAAGCUUCUAAACGUUGAAAACAGGGUGCCCGUACCGAAACCGACACAGGUAGGUGAGGCGAGUAGCCUAAGGUGCGCGAGAGAAACCAACGUUAAGGAACUCGGCAAAUUGACCCCGUAACUUAGGGAUAAGGGGUGCCGCUUCAGGUGAAGGGACUUGCUCCCGGAGCCCAGAGCGGUUGCAACAAAGAGGCUGGUGCGACUGUUUAACAAAAACACAGCUCUAUGCUAACUCGCAAGAGGAUGUAUAUGGAGUGACACGUGACCAAUGCCAAAAGGUCAAUGGGAGAGGUUAGCGCAAGCGAAGCUUCGAUCUGAAGCCCUGGUGAAUGUCGGCCGUAACUAUAACGGUCCUAAGGUAGCGAAAUUCCUUGUCGGGUAAGUUCCGACCUGCACGAAUCGUGUAACGAUGCCAGCACUGUCUCAACGUGGAUCUCGGCGAAGUUGUAAUUCCGGUGAAAAUGCCGGAUACCUGCGGAAGGACGGGAAGACCCCAUGAACCUUUACUGUAAUCUGAUAUUGGU